rnacentral:rRNA from 1 species
GNCCCGUUGNNAGCGUUAUUCGGAUUUACUGGGCGUAAAGAGCACCGAGGUGGCUUCUUAAGUUGGAUGUGAAAUCUCCUGGCUUAACCGGGAGGCGCCAUUCAAAACUGGGGAGCUUGAGGUCAGCAGGGGAAGGUGGAAUUCCCGGUGUAGUGGUGGAAUGCGUAGAGAUCGGGAGGAACACCAGUGGCGAAAGCGACCUUCUGGGCUGCACCUGACACUCUAGUGCGAAAGCGUGGGGAGCAAACAGGAUUAGAUACCCUGGUAGUCCACGCCCUAAACGAUGGAUACUAGGUGUGGGAGGUAUUGACCCCUUCCGUGCCGAAGCCAACGCGUUAAGUAUCCCGCCUGGGGACUACGGCCGCAAGGUUA